GACGAACGCUGGCGGCGUGCUUAACACAUGCAAGUCGAACGGAAAGGCCCUGCUUUUGUGGGGUGCUCGAGUGGCGAACGGGUGAGUAACACGUGAGUAACCUGCCCUUGACUUUGGGAUAACUUCAGGAAACUGGGGCUAAUACCGGAUAGGAGCUCCUGCUGCAUGGUGGGGGUUGGAAAGUUUCGGCGGUUGGGGAUGGACUCGCGGCUUAUCAGCUUGUUGGGGGGGUAGUGGCUUACCAAGGCUUUGACGGGUAGCCGGCCUGAGAGGGUGAGCGGCCACGUUGGGACUGAGAUACGGCCCAGACUCCUACGGGAGGCAGCAGUGGGGAAGAUUGCACAAUGGGCUGAAGCCUGAUGCAGCGACGCCGCGUGCGGGAUGACGGCCUUCGGGUUGUAAUCCGCUUUCGCCUGUGACGAAGCGUGAGUGACGGUAAUGGGUAAAGAAGCCCCGGCUAACUACGUG
rnacentral:rRNA from 1 species